AUACGGAGGAUGCGAGCGUUAUCCGGAUUUAUUGGGUUUAAAGGGUGCGUAGGCUGUGCGUUAAGUCAGGGGUGAAAUGCCGUCGCUCAACGACGGAGCUGCCCUUGAUACUGGCGUGCUGGAGUACGGAUGCCGUUGGAGGAAUGAGUGGUGUAGCGGUGAAAUGCUUAGAUAUCACUCAGAACACCGAUUGCGAAGGCAUCUGACGAAUCCGUCACUGACGCUGAGGCACGAAAGCGUGGGGAUAGAACAGGAUUAGAUACCCUGGUAUUCCACGCCGUAAACGAUGAUGACUAACCGUCGGCGAUAGACAGCCGGUGGCCAAGCGAAAGCGAUAAGUCAUCCACCUGGGGAGUACGUCGGCAACGAUGAAACUCAAAGGAAUUGACGG
rnacentral:rRNA from 1 species